UUGUUUUUGGAAAAUCCUGCGAUAACCCAGCCAAUUAGUUGUGACAUUGGAGAUGGAGGUGUAAAGGGAGUAAGAGGCCCAAGACAGCUAAACUUCUGCCCAGGCUGGAGUGCAGUGGAGUGAUCUCAGCUCACUGUAACCUCAAAUUUGUGGGCUCAAGCAAUCCUCCUGCCUCAGCCUCCCAAGUAGCUAGGACUAUAGGCCACCCUAGCUAAUUGUUUUUUAUAGAGACGGUCUCAAACUCCUGGUCUCAAGUGAUUGUCCCACCUUGGCAUCCCAAAGUGCUGAGAUUACAGGCAUAAGCCACCAUGCCUGGCCUACAAAGAGAUUUUUAAAGGCUUAAGCUAGGGAGAGUUUUUUUUAGGCAAGUCAGAGGAGACUUCCCUAAAGAAUGUGCUAAAACCUGAAGGUUGACGAGUUUCACCAGGUGCCAGUGGGCAAGGGAUGGGGAGAGCAGUCCAGGUAGAGGGACUAGCAUGUGCAGAAGCCUUGCGUACAGCCACAUCUGAGGCCAGCACUUUCCCUGAAUGUAACAGAGACCCCAACUGUGAAUUACCAUUCGGAGGUCGUCCCUCCCCACCUAGAGUGGAUCAAAGACAACAGGGACCAACGGGAAGAAGUUUGAGCUUUGCUAGGUUGAUUAUGGGUGCUGAACGAGUGGCUUGAAACCCACAUCUAUAGCACAAGCAAGCAGGGGCAUCAGAAGCCACUCCGUUCUUCUGGAAGCUGCAGAGAAAGGGAACCCGGAAACCUGAUAUGCCAGCAAAAAGGCUGUGGAGAUCAGAAGUGUGGAGUCCUGAGAAGGUGAGCAGUUGAAGGCCUGAACAUAAAAAAGACUGACCAACCUUCCUCUACCUAGAAGGAAUUCUGCCGGCAGCCUGUUUCUGGACUCAAACUGCAGCUCUUCCCUGGGUCUCCAGCCUACCCUAUCAGAUUUUAGAAGCACAAAGUCUCCACAAUCAUGUAAGCAAAUUUCUUUUCUUUUCUUUUCUUUAACAGUUUUCACUCUUGUUGCCCAGGCUGAAGUGCAAUGGUGCGGUCUUGGCUCAUAGCAGCCUCCACCUCCUGAGUUUGAGCAAUUCUCCUACCUCAGCCUCCCAAGUAGCUGGGAUUACAGGCACCUGCCACCACACCUGGCUAAUUUUUGUAUUUUUAGUAGAGACGGGGUUUCACCAUGUUGGCCAGGCUGUUCAUGAACUCCUGACAUCAGGUGAUCCACCCACCUUGGCCUCCCAAAGUGCUGGGAUUACAAGGGUGAGCCAUCACACCCAGCCUAACCAAAUUUCUUAAAGUAUAUCUCCAAGUCUGUACAUAGAUACACAUCCUCUUGUUUUUUAUUCUCUGUAGAACCCUGACUAAUAUAGGGCCCUUGUGAUUAUAGUGAGCUCACCCAGAUAAUCCAGAACAAUCUCCCUAUCUCAAGACUCUUCUUUUGGGCUGGGAGUGGUGGCUCAUGCCUGUAAUCCUAGCAAGGCAGGGGCAAGAGGAUCACUUGAGCUCAAGAGUUCAAGACCAGCCUGGGC
rnacentral:lncRNA from 10 species